CGUCGUUGUCGCUCACGUGGAGUGUUAGGUGCUCGAGAGCCUCAAAAGUCAGAAGUCCCAGUUUUUUUAGCAAGUAGGAACGCCUUGCAAGCAUCACAAACUCUGAAAGAUCACAAGGUCAAACGUAAGACUACUUCAGCGGAGCGAGGAGACAAGAUCAAACGUAAGGCUACUUCAGCUAGCGUAAGGCUACUUGCGAUCUUUCAGAGCUUUGCUAGCGGAAGCAUAUCCCUGAAGCCAAAGCCUUGGGUCUCCGCUCCAUCCUGAUCCUGAAGCGCACAAGGAGGAGGUCACCACAGGUUCAAAUCCCUUCGGAUCUACAUCAACUACAAGCCAGGUAUAGUUGUUGUUCUCUGGUUUUGAUGGGUAAUAGGAGCAAGGAGGACAUCCAAAGUUGAAGUUCAGAUCCAGCUUAUUGUCAACAGGAACAAGCUUACACACUCUCGCCCAUACAACAAGACCAGCCUAGCACAAGCACCGUACGCAAAAUAAAUUUUCUCCUGGAAGGACGAGCCUCUUAAUUUGUGACAACGACAAGGUCUGGCGAGCAGGAAGUGGUCAUUCUAUUGAUAUUUGAGUAAGUAUACAACUAGGCGGCCACCCAUCAGAAGCCACGUAUGCUGGUGGUUCUCUGGUUUUGAUGUG